rnacentral:rRNA from 1 species
UUCCAGACUCCUACGGGAGGCAGCAGUGAGGAAUAUUGGUCAAUGGGCGAGAGCCUGAACCAGCCAAGUCGCGUGAGGGAGUACUGCCCUAUGGGUUGUAAACCUCUUUUGUCGGGGAGCAAAAGCCGGACGUGUCCGGCUGUGAGAGUACCCGAAGAAAAAGCAUCGGCUAAUUCCGUGCCAGCAGCCGCGGUAAUACGGAAGGUCCGGGCGUUAUCCGGAUUUAUUGGGUUUAAAGGGAGCGUAGGCCGGUCUUUAAGCGUGCCGUGAAAUUUUGUGGCUCAACCAUGAGAGUGCGGCGCGAACUGGAGACCUUGAGUGCGCGGAAGGCAGGCGGAAUUCGUGGUGUAGCGGUGAAAUGCUUAGAUAUCACGAAGAACCCCGAUUGCGAAGGCAGCCUGCCGCAGCGUUACUGACGCUGAAGCUCGAAAGCGCGGGUAUCGAACAGGAUUAGAUACCCCAGUAGUU